UACGUAGGGUGCGAGCGUUUGUCCGGAAUUAUUGGGCGUAAAGAGCUCGUAGGCGGUGUGUCACGUCGUUCGUGAAAACCUGCAGCUUAACUGUGGGCGUGCGGUCGAUACGGGCAUCACUGGAGUUCGGCAGGGGAGACUGGAAUUCCUGGUGUAGCGGUGAAAUGCGCAGAUAUCAGGAGGAACACCGGUGGGCGAAGGCGGUUCUCUGGGCCUUACCUGACGCUGGAGGAGCGAAAGCCGUGGGGAGCGAACAGG
rnacentral:rRNA from 1 species